CGGCGGGUUAGGACGUCAACAACAGCCAACAAAUUAUUAGAAAUGAAGACCAUUUGUGAAAUGAAGAUUUUCAGGUUCCUGGCCACAUAUGUUCUCAUGUAUUUUCGAACGGACUUUCUCUGACUGUUGACCGCGGAAAACCGUGAACGAGGUUAUCAGAGAGCUGCGAUAAGAGAGGAAAACGGAGAGGAAGAGAAGCAGCCCGACGCGGUGUGAAGGAAUGGAAUAAACCCCAGAGCAGAACCAGAGGAAGGAGGGAUGACUGCCGUGAGAUGAAAGAGGGAUAGAGCAGGACACAGAACAACUCGAGAGACCAUUCAGCUGUGAAGAGACAGAAGAAGCCAGAAGAUCACACAAACACCCAAAGGCUUCGCACGUGUAUGCCUCCGCCUCCAAGGGGAUGGCGUUCUGGAAGCAGUGUAAAAGAGAUGACGCCCUCCUCGGCCUUCCACACCUGGAAGAUGUACUGCACCCUGGAGCACAGUCUCUGUCGCAAAAUGGUGGGAAAGACAUGGACAUACACUUGCU
ensembl:lncRNA